UGAGCAUGUGGUUAAUUCGAUGCAACGCGAAGAACCUUACCUACUCUUUGACAUCCAGAGAAUUUGCUAGAGAUAGCUUAGUGCCUUCGGGAACUCUGAGACAGGUGCUGCAUGGCUGUCGUCAGCUCGUGUUGUGAAAUGUUGGGUUAAGUCCCGCAACGAGCGCAACCCUUAUCCUUUGUUGCCAGCGAGUAAUGUCGGGAACUCAAAGGAGACUGCCGGUGAUAAACCGGAGGAGGGUGGGAUGACGUCAAGUCAUCAUGGCCCUUACGAGUAGGGCUACACACGUGCUACAAUGGCAUAUACAAAGAGAAGCGAACUCGCGAGAGCAAGCGGACCUCAUAAAGUAUGUCGUAGUCCGGAUUGGAGUCUGCAACUCGACUCCAUGAAGUCGGAAUCGCUAGUAAUCGUAGAUCAGAAUGCUACGGUGAAUACGUUCCCGGGCCUU
rnacentral:rRNA from 1 species